rnacentral:rRNA from 1 species
UACGGGGGGAGCAAGCGUUGUUCGGAUUUACUGGGCGUAAAGGGCGCGUAGGCGGCGUGACAAGUCACUUGUGAAAUCUCCGGGCUUAACUCGGAGCGGUCAAGUGAUACUGUCGUGCUAGAGUGCGGAAGGGGCUACUGGAAUUCUCGGUGUAGCGGUGAAAUGCGUAGAUAUCGAGAGGAACACCUGCGGCGAAAGCGGCGCACUGGACCAUAACUGACGCUGAGGCGCGAAAGCUAGGGGAGCAAACAGG